rnacentral:rRNA from 1 species
AACGAACGCUGGCGGCAUGCCUAACACAUGCAAGUCGAACGAACCCUUCGGGGUUAGUGGCGCACGGGUGCGUAACGCGUGGGAAUCUGCCCUUGGGUUCGGAAUAACAGUUAGAAAUGACUGCUAAUACCGGAUGAAGUCUUCGGACCAAAGAUUUAUCGCCCAGGGAUGAGCCCGCGUAGGAUUAGGUAGUUGGUGGGGUAAAGGCCUACCAAGCCGACGAUCCUUAGCUGGUCUGAGAGGAUGAUCAGCCACACUGGGACUGAGACACGGCCCAGACUCCUACGGGAGGCAGCAGUGGGGAAUAUUGGACAAUGGGGGAAACCCUGAUCCAGCAAUGCCGCGUGAGUGAUGAAGGCCUUAGGGUCGUAAAGCUCUUUUACCA